GACACGCUGGCGGCGUGCCUAACACAUGCAAGUUCGAGCGGAGAUACAUGAAGAGCAAUCUGAGUGUAUCUGAGCGGCGGACGGGUGAGUAACGCGUGAGCAACCUGCCUUUUACAGGGGAAUAACGCACCGAAAGGUGCACUAAUACCGCAUGAGACCACAGUGCCACAUGACACAGGGGUUAAAGGAGCAAUCCGGUAGAAGAUGGGCUCGCGUCCGAUUAGGUAGUUGGUGGGGUAAAGGCCUACCAAGCCUGAGAUCGGUAGCCGACCUGAGAGGGUGAUCGGCCACACUGGAACUGAGAGACGGUCCAGACUCCUACGGGAGGCAGCAGUGGGGAAUAUUGGGCAAUGGGGGAAACCCUGACCCAGCAACGCCGCGUGAGGGAAGAAGGUUUUCGGAUUGUAAACCUCUGUUCUUGGAGAAGAGAAGAAGACGGUAUCCAAGGAGGAAGCCCCGGCUAACUACGUG
rnacentral:rRNA from 1 species